rnacentral:rRNA from 1 species
CCUACGGUAGGCAGCAGUGAGGAAUAUUGGUCAAUGGCCGGAAGGCUGAACCAGCCAUGCCGCGUGAAGGUCAGUGCCCUAUGGGCGUUAAACUUCUUUUGUGCGGGAGCAAUAAUGGUCACGUGUGGCCAGACGAGAGUACCGUACGAAUAAGCAUCGGCUAACUACGUGCCAGCAGCCGCGGUAAUACGGGGGAUGCAAGCGUUAUCCGGAUUUAUUGGGUUUAAAGGGUGCGUAGGCUGGGAGGUAAGUCAGCGGGGAAAUGCCCCCGCUCAACGGGGUGAAGUGCCAUUGAUACUGCCUUGCUGGAAUGCGGAUGCGGUGGGAGGAAUGUGUGGUGUAGCGGUGAAAUGCAUAGAUAUCACGCAGAACCCCGAUUGCGAAGGCAGCCUUCCGGCGCCCUACUGACGCUGAGGCACGAAAGUGCGGGGAUCGAACAGGAUUAGAUACCCUUGUAGUC